GAGUACCUCUCACGAGAUCUGAUGGGUUUAUCAGGAGUUUCCGCUUUUGCUUCUUCCUCAUCGUCUCUUGCCGCUGCCAUGAAAGGAGUGCUUUUUGCCUCCCACCAUGAUUCUGAGGCCUCCACAGCCAUGUAGAAUUAGCCAGCCUGUUUUUGACGAAGAGCAACUGUACUGGAGAGAAAGCCUGUAUUCAUAUUCAUCGUCAUCAGGCAAAUCGAGGAGCUGACUUGCUUAGGAUCACUGGGACCAUCUCAUAAUGUUUGUGUACAUUCCUGUUGUCUUCUACCUCCCAUCCACAGUGUCUCUCUACUGCCUAUAACCAGCCUACAUAAG